rnacentral:ncRNA from 1 species
AUAAAGUUUUAUUCUAGCUUUAAAUUUGAGUAUAAUUUUAUUUUACAUGUAAAUUUUAGUAUGGUGUUGUUAUAAUAAUUUAAAUAAUUUCAAUUUAAUUUCAUUCGCAGUAAAUAACUUUAUUUUUCAGCGCUAGCUGGAUUUAGUAAUAAUUAAUAAUAUUGACAAAAUUUGUGCCAGCAGUUGCGGUUAUACAGAUAAUAUAUCUCAAAUUAUUCGGAAUCAGUUAAUUUUUCUUUUAACUUUAAUUUUAUUUUUAUAGAGUGAAAUUUUUAAAUAUUAAAUAAGUUGAUUAUUAGUUAAUGAGGCUGGGAAAUUUUUCUUAAGACUAGGAUUAGAUACCCUAUUAUGUUAAACGUUAAUAAUCUUUCUGGGAUAGUAGUAGUUUUGUUCUUUAAAACUAAAGAUUUUGGCGGUACCUUAGUCCAUUCAGAGGAACCUGUCCUGUAAUUGAUGAUCCACGAUUUGAUUUACUUUCUUUAUUAAUUUACAUAUCGUCGUAGCUUGAAUAUCUUAUUAGAGCUUUAAUAUUCAGGAUUCUUUCAGGAAAAAAAUCAGAUCAAGGUGUAGUAUAUAAGAGAGAAGAGAUGGGUUACAGUAAAUUUAUUUAAAAGGAUUUAUUUACUUAGGUAUCUAAUGAAUUCGGAUUUGAUUGUAAUUUUAACUAAUUAGUUAUUUUGAUUUUGGCUCUAGGGUAUGCACAUAUCGCCCGUCGCUUUCACUCUAAAGUGAAAUAAGUCGUAACAUAGUAGGCCUACCGGAAGGUGGGCCUGGAUAGAC